rnacentral:rRNA from 1 species
GACGAACGCUGGCGGCGUGCCUAAUACAUGCAAGUUGAGCGCUGAAGGUUGGUACUUGUACCAACUGGAUGAGCAGCGAACGGGUGAGUAACGCGUGGGAAAUCUGCCUUUGAGCGGGGGACAACAUUUGGAAACGAAUGCUAAUACCGCAUAAAAACUUUAAACACAAGUUUUAAGUUUGAAAGAUGCAAUUGCAUCACUCAAAGAUGAUCCCGCGUUGUAUUAGCUAGUUGGUGAGGUAAAGGCUCACCAAGGCGAUGAUACAUAGCCGACCUGAGAGGGUGAUCGGCCACAUUGGGACUGAGACACGGCCCAAACUCCUACGGGAGGCAGCAGUAGGGAAUCUUCGGCAAUGGACGAAAGUCUGACCGAGCAACGCCGCGUGAGUGAAGAAGGUUUUCGGAUCGUAAAACUCUGUUGGUAGAGAAGAACGUUGGUGAGAGUGGAAAGCUCAUCAAGUGACGGUAACUACCCAGAAAGGGACGGCUAACUACGUG